ensembl:snoRNA
AUUCUUUUGUAGUUGAUAAGCAUGAUGAUUGGAGUUUCACGUGCAUGUGUGAGAUGUACCUCCCUCCAACCUUGUUACCACAUCUGCACAUUACCUGCCUGAUG